rnacentral:lncRNA from 1 species
GGCUCCUGAAAUCCUCCGGUGUGAACUCCCAGGGCUGUUGAUGCUUCAUCUACUCUUCUGGCAGUGGGGGCCUGGACCUUAGUUACCCGGGGAGCGUGAGUCAUGUUGCACAGUUGAGCUGGCACAUAAAACUGCGAGGACAGAGAUCCAAGGAGUGGAUCAACAUGCCUGAGUUUACACAGUGGACCUGAGGACCUUCACCUCCCAGUGCAAUGCUCCUGUGUACUGCCACUGAAGAGACAGGUGGGAGGGAGCUCAAGGUUGACUUGCCUAACAACCAUUGCUUGAAAGACAAAGCUCCCAAGGAGAGCACAAGAUCCCUCACUCGAGACUCCUCUGCAUCACCAACCAGUGUGAACAAAGCCUGCAGCUGUCAGCA